GUGGGGAAUAUUGGACAAUGGGGGCAACCCUGAUCCAGCAAUGCCGCGUGUGUGAAGAAGGCCUGAGGGUUGUAAAGCACUUUCAGUGGGGAGGAGGGUUGAUUGGUUAAGAGCUAGUUAACUGGACGUUACCCACAGAAGAAGCACCGGCUAACUCCGUGCCAGCAGCCGCGGUAAUACGGAGGGUGCGAGCGUUAAUCGGAAUUACUGGGCGUAAAGGGUGCGUAGGUGGUUAAUUAAGUUAUCUGUGAAAUCCCUGGGCUCAACCUGGGCAGGUCAGAUAAAACUGUUUAACUCGAGUAUGGGAGAGGGUAGUGGAAUUUCCGGUGUAGCGGUGAAAUGCGUAGAGAUCGGAAGGAACACCAGUGGCGAAGGCGGCUACCUGGCCUAAUACUGACACUGAGGCACGAAAGCGUGGGGAGCAAACAGGAUUAGAUACCCUUGUAGUCC
rnacentral:rRNA from 1 species